UGUGGACUCGAGUCAUGUGACUUGGACUCGAGUCAGACUCGAGUCAUGAAUUUGAUGACUUCAGACUCGACUUGGACUUGCAUAACAAUGACUUUGUCCCACCUCUGGUCCAAAGCGCACUGGCAGGAGAGCACGGGACGGACCCAGGUGGACGGAGGUGACCGGUAGACCAAGUGCUGUCGUUUUACACACGGCUCUGAAGUCAUUUACGUGCUCAUUUGAGGCCGAGUCGACCUAGGGGAGGCCCCAGGACAAGUUCCGAUUAUCCGCCACACCGAUGUCAGUCGUGUCCUGGAAACGAACUGAGAUCGCCAGACGUCCACUAGUUUGCUCGUAGCAUCGACGUGUAGCCGAGGAUCAUUGCACCGACAUCCAUCAAAAUCAGCCGCUGGCGACCUUCACGCACCGAAUCGCUGCCGCCCGUUGGGGGCCGACGAGAGGCACCCCGCUCUGCGGUGAAUGUGCCCCCCGCGCGCCUGCGCUGCUCCCCCACCACGGAGAGCAACACGGGGGGGUGGCACGCGCGCUAACCGCUACACUCCGGCUCCCCCCCCCCGACUGUGCCACGUACAAAGGCAAAGAUACCCCGUGUAGCCUUAACAGAUUGUAGGGGCAAGUGCUGUUAGCGAGCAGCACCUAUAAA